rnacentral:rRNA from 1 species
UACGGAGGGAGCUAGCGUUGUUCGGAAAUACUGGGCGUAAAGCGCACGUAGGCGGCGCAGUAAGUCAGGGGUGAAAUCCCGGGGCUCAACCCCGGAACUGCCCUUGAAACUGCAGUGCUAGAAUUCUGGAGAGGCGAGUGGAAUUCCGAGUGUAGAGGUGAAAUUCGUAGAUAUUCGGAAGAACACCAGUGGCGAAGGCGACUCGCUGGACAGACAUUGACGCUGAGGUGCGAAAGCGUGGGGAGCAAACAGG